AAUGUGCCUGCCCAAAGUCAGGAGCCUGUUAUUCAGUGGUUGUCGUUUGUUGGUGUGUUAUAUAUUUGUUUUUGUUCAUUUUUUUAUGUAUAAAUUAGGCCGUUAUUUUUCUCGUUUGAAUUGUUUUACUUUCGUAAUUUUGCUCCUGUUAUAGCAGACUUGAGCUUUGCUUAUUGUUGAAGGCCGUACGAUGACCUAUAUACUCACACGGAAAACCAUUUGUGCAUGUGAUUCUUUUACGAAUAUAGAUCCUUUUACUUAAAGUGUAUUUUUUC
rnacentral:lncRNA from 1 species